rnacentral:rRNA from 1 species
AUUGAACGCUGGCGGUAUGCUUAACACAUGCAAGUCGAACGGUAACAGGCCUUCGGGCGCUGACGAGUGGCGGACGGGUGAGUAACGCGUAGGAAUCUGCCUCAUAGUGGGGGACAACGUGGGGAAACUCACGCUAAUACCGCAUACGCCCUACGGGGAAAGCGGGGGAUCUUCGGACCUCGCGCUAUGAGAUGAGCCUGCGUUAGAUUAGCUAGUUGGUAGGGUAAAGGCCUACCAAGGCGACGAUCUAUAGCUGGUCUGAGAGGACGAUCAGCCACACUGGGACUGAGACACGGCCCAGACUCCUACGGGAGGCAGCAGUGGGGAAUAUUGGACAAUGGGCGCAAGCCUGAUCCAGCAAUGCCGCGUGGAUGAAGAAGGUCUUCGGAUUGUAAAGUACCUUUCGGUCGGGGACGGAUGAUGAGGUACCCGCAGAAGAAGCCCCGGCUAACUUCGUGCCAGCAGCCGCGGUAA